rnacentral:lncRNA from 1 species
AGGGUCCUUUGCCGAGAUCUAGGGCAAGGCCUCUCGGCAAUUUUUUUGUUUUUUAGCCACCAAACUUUUUCUUUAUGCUCCCUAGCUAGUUAGAGUUAUCCAACAUAUUCAAGUUUGGUGUAAUUUUAUCAAUAUUUACUAUAUUUCUUUCUUUUUUUCGUUUCAUUGAAUUUCUUGAAAAAUGUAUGUUAGAACUGCAAGUGCAUGAAAUCACGUGUUUCUAUGCACAAAAAGUUGAUAUUCAUGGUACUUACGCUAAUUCAAGGCCGUGUGCAUGAAAACACCCUAGCUCUCGCAUGUUUUUGUGGCGAACCCUGACUUUUGAGACGGUGUGGAAUAGGUUUUAAAUUAUAGAAAAUCCAAACGAGUUCAAAAAAUCGCGAAACUUGACGAGGUGUCCUCAUAUCACAUG